ACAGACCACGGCUGACGCUCGGAAGAUCCUCUUUGAGGAGCUUCUCUGGGAGCACCGGGACCUCGCUGAGGCACACAGCAAGUGCCAAGCUAUCCCGAAAGCUUCUAUUGAGGCCCUCAGGAAGCAGCUUGCCGCCGCCCAAGAGGAGAAGGACCAGCUUAUCCAGCAGCAUCAGGAGGAUCUGAGCGCCCAGAGAACCAGCUACCAGGAGCUAAAGGGUCAGCUUAUCCAGCUUGGUCUUGACCAUGCCAAGGCGCUGAAUGCUGCUGAAUC